GAUUUCUGUGUAGAGAACUCUGGCCCGCCACGGUUACGUGUGUGAGUGCCGGACCGUUACUCUGCCAUCCUUCGUAACUAUCCUCAGCUGCCCUUCACUGGGUGUGUUGAGUGGUGGUACGAUCGUUUACUUUGAAAAAAUUAGAGUGUUUAAAGCAGGCUUUUGCUAUGAAUACAUUAGCAUGGAAUAAUAAUCUAGGACUUCGGUUCUAUUUUGUUGGUUUCUAUAACUGAAGUAAUGAUUGAUAGGGAUAGUUGGGGGUGCUAGUAUUGGCCGGCCAGAGGUGAAAUUCUUGGAUUCGGUCAAGACUAACUUAUGCGAAAGCAUU
rnacentral:rRNA from 1 species